rnacentral:lncRNA from 1 species
AUGUUCCCCAGCUCCACUCUCUGUUCCACCACCAUGUUCCUCAGCUCCACUGUCUGGUCCACCACCAUGUUCCUCAGCUCCACUCUCUGUUCCACCACCAUGUUCCUCAGCUCCACUCUCUGUUCCACCACCAUGUUCCUCAGCUCCACUCUCUGUUCCACCACCAUGUUCCUCAGCUCCACUCUCUGUUCCACCACCAUGUUCCUCAAUUCCACUCGCUGUUCCACCACCAUGUUCCUCAGCUCCACUCUCUGUUCCACCACCAUGUUCCUCAGCUCCACUCUCUGUUCCACCACCAUGUUCCUCAAUUCCACUCGCUGUUCCACAACCAUGUUCCUCAGCUCCACUCUGUUCCACCACCAUGUUCCUCAGCUCCACUCUGUUCCACCACCAUGUUCCUCAGCUCCUCUCUCUGUUCCAUCACCAUGUUCCUCAGCUCCUCUCUCUGUUCCACCACCAUGUUCCUCAGCUCCUCACUCUGUUCCACCACCAUGUUCCUCAGCUCCACUCUCUGUUCCACCACCAUGUUCCUCAGCUCCACUCUGUUCCACCACCAUGUUCCUCAGCUCCUCUCUCUGUUCCACCACCAUGUUCCUCAGCUCCUCUCUCUGUUCCACCAUGUUCCUCAGCUCCUCACUCUGUUCCACCACCAUGUUCCUCAGCUCCACUCUCUGUUCCACCACCAUGUUCCUCAGCUCCACUCUGUUCCACCACCAUGUUCCUCAGCUCCUCACUCUGUUCCACCACCAUGUUCCUCAGCUCCACUCUCUGUUCCACCACUCCUCUCUCUGUUCCACCACCAUGUUCCUCAGCUCCUCUCUCUGUUCCACCACCAUGUUCCUCAGCUCCUCACUCUGUUCCACCACCAUGUUCCUCAGCUCCACUCUCUGUUCCACCACCAUGUUCCUCAGCUCCACUCUGUUCCACCACCAUGUUCCUCAGCUCCUCUCUGUUCCACCACCAUGUUCCUCAGCUCCUCUCUCUGUUCCACCAUGUUCCUCAGCUCCUCACUCUGUUCCACCACCAUGUUCAUCAGCUCCACUCUCUGUUCCACCACCAUGUUCCUCAGCUCCACUCUGUUCCACCACCAUGUUCCUCAGCUCCUCACUCUGUUCCACCACCAUGUUCCUCAGCUCCACUCUCUGUUCCACCACUCCUCUCUCUGUUCCACCACCAUGUUCCUCAGCUCCUCUCUCUGUUCCACCACCAUGUUCCUCAGCUCCACUCUGUUCCACCGUCUCUCAGCACCUUCAGUUCAGUGCAGAUGUCAGGCUAGGUGGUCAACUGUUCAGCAUCAGUCUUUCCUCCUUCACUGUGACCCUGUUCAGUCAUAUCCUUCUCUCUGUCCCCUCUACUCUCUCCAUGAGCCCAUGUCCCAGACAGACAGUGCAGCAACACCAGUAG